rnacentral:precursor_RNA from 10 species
CAGGAAGGAUCAACAAUAUGUUACUUGGCCAUGUGCUUCUGUCUAACCAUGUUGUCCUGGUAUGUGGGCAUGGUUAUUUAGAGCAUAAGACCACGUCUCCUUGACGACGACCUUCCUUGC